rnacentral:rRNA from 1 species
GUUAUAUGGUCAAGUGAAGAAGCGCAUACGGUGGAUGCCUUGGCAGUCAGAGGCGAUGAAAGACGUGGUAGCCUGCGAAAAGCUUCGGGGAGUCGGCAAACAGACUUUGAUCCGGAGAUCUCUGAAUGGGGGAACCCACCUAGGAUAACCUAGGUAUCUUGUACUGAAUCCAUAGGUGCAAGAGGCGAACCAGGGGAACUGAAACAUCUAAGUACCCUGAGGAAAAGAAAUCAACCGAGAUUCCCUUAGUAGUGGCGAGCGAACGGGGAUUAGCCCUUAAGCUUCAUUGAUUUUAGCGGAACGCUCUGGAAAGUGCGGCCAUAGUGGGUGAUAGCCCCGUACGCGAAAGGAUCUUUGAAGUGAAAUCGAGUAGGACGGAGCACGAGAAACUUUGUCUGAACAUGGGGGGACCAUCCUCCAAGGCUAAAUACUACUGACUGACCGAUAGUGAACCAGUACCGUGAGGGAAAGGCGAAAAGAACCCCGGAGAGGGGAGUGAAAUAGAACCUGAAACCGUAUGCGUACAAGCAGUGGGAGCCUACUUGUUAGGUGACUGCGUACCUUUUGUAUAAUGGGUCAGCGACUUAUAUUCAGUGGCAAGCUUAACCGUAUAGGGUAGGCGUAGCGAAAGCGAGUCUUAAUAGGGCGUUUAGUCGCUGGGUAUAGACCCGAAACCGGGCGAUCUAUCCAUGAGCAGGUUGAAGGUUAGGUAACACUGACUGGAGGACCGAACCCACUCCCGUUGAAAAGGUAGGGGAUGACUUGUGGAUCGGAGUGAAAGGCUAAUCAAGCUCGGAGAUAGCUGGUUCUCCUCGAAAGCUAUUUAGGUAGCGCCUCAUGUAUCACUCUGGGGGGUAGAGCACUGUUUCGGCUAGGGGGUCAUCCCGACUUACCAAACCGAUGCAAACUCCGAAUACCCAGAAGUGCCGAGCAUGGGAGACACACGGCGGGUGCUAACGUCCGUCGUGAAAAGGGAAACAACCCAGACCGCCAGCUAAGGUCCCAAAGUUGUGGUUAAGUGGUAAACGAUGUGGGAAGGCUUAGACAGCUAGGAGGUUGGCUUAGAAGCAGCCAUCCUUUAAAGAAAGCGUAAUAGCUCACUAGUCGAGUCGGCCUGCGCGGAAGAUGUAACGGGGCUCAAACCACACACCGAAGCUGCGGGUGUCACGUAAGUGACGCGGUAGAGGAGCGUUCUGUAAGCCUGUGAAGGUGAGUUGAGAAGCUUGCUGGAGGUAUCAGAAGUGCGAAUGCUGACAUGAGUAACGACAAUGGGUGUGAAAAACACCCACGCCGAAAGACCAAGGGUUCCUGCGCAACGUUAAUCGACGCAGGGUUAGUCGGUUCCUAAGGCGAGGCUGAAAAGCGUAGUCGAUGGGAAACAGGUUAAUAUUCCUGUACUUCUGGUUACUGCGAUGGAGGGACGGAGAAGGCUAGGCCAGCUUGGCGUUGGUUGUCCAAGUUUAAGGUGGUAGGCUGAAAUCUUAGGUAAAUCCGGGGUUUCAAGGCCGAGAGCUGAUGACGAGUCGUCUUUUAGAUGACGAAGUGGUUGAUGCCAUGCUUCCAAGAAAAGCUUCUAAGCUUCAGGUAACCAGGAACCGUACCCCAAACCGACACAGGUGGUCGGGUAGAGAAUACCAAGGCGCUUGAGAGAACUCGGGUGAAGGAACUAGGCAAAAUGGCACCGUAACUUCGGGAGAAGGUGCGCCGGCUAGGGUGAAGGAUUUACUCCGUAAGCUCUGGCUGGUCGAAGAUACCAGGCCGCUGCGACUGUUUAUUAAAAACACAGCACUCUGCAAACACGAAAGUGGACGUAUAGGGUGUGACGCCUGCCCGGUGCCGGAAGGUUAAUUGAUGGGGUUAGCGCAAGCGAAGCUCUUGAUCGAAGCCCCGGUAAACGGCGGCCGUAACUAUAACGGUCCUAAGGUAGCGAAAUUCCUUGUCGGGUAAGUUCCGACCUGCACGAAUGGCGUAACGAUGGCGGCGCUGUCUCCACCCGAGACUCAGUGAAAUUGAAAUCGCUGUGAAGAUGCAGUGUAUCCGCGGCUAGACGGAGAGACCCCGUGAACCUUUACUGUAGCUUUGCACUGGACUUUGAGCCUGCUUGUGUAGGAUAGGUGGGAGGCUUUGAAGCGUGGACGCCAGUUCGCGUGGAGCCAUCCUUGAAAUACCACCCUGGCAUGCUUGAGGUUCUAACUCUGGUCCGUGAUCCGGAUCGAGGACAGUGUAUGGUGGGCAGUUUGACUGGGGCGGUCUCCUCCUAAAGAGUAACGGAGGAGUACGAAGGUGCGCUCAGACCGGUCGGAAAUCGGUCGCAGAGUAUAAAGGCAAAAGCGCGCUUGACUGCGAGACAGACACGUCGAGCAGGUACGAAAGUAGGUCUUAGUGAUCCGGUGGUUCUGUAUGGAAGGGCCAUCGCUCAACGGAUAAAAGGUACUCCGGGGAUAACAGGCUGAUACCGCCCAAGAGUUCAUAUCGACGGCGGUGUUUGGCACCUCGAUGUCGGCUCAUCACAUCCUGGGGCUGAAGCCGGUCCCAAGGGUAUGGCUGUUCGCCAUUUAAAGUGGUACGCGAGCUGGGUUUAGAACGUCGUGAGACAGUUCGGUCCCUAUCUGCCGUGGACGUUUGAGAUUUGAGAGGGGCUGCUCCUAGUACGAGAGGACCGGAGUGGACGAACCUCUGGUGUUCCGGUUGUCACGCCAGUGGCAUUGCCGGGAAGGUGAAGUCG